UACGAAGGGGGCUAGCGUUGCUCGGAAUCACUGGGCGUAAAGCGCACGUAGGCGGAUUUCUAAGUCAGGGGUGAAAUCCUGGAGCUCAACUCCAGAACUGCCUUCGAUACUGGGAAGCUCGAGUCCGGGAGAGGUGAGUGGAACUGCGAGUGUAGAGGUGAAAUUCGUAGAUAUUCGCAAGAACACCAGUGGCGAAGGCGGCUCACUGGCCCGGUACUGACGCUGAGGUGCGAAAGCGUGGGGAGCAAACAGG
rnacentral:rRNA from 1 species